rnacentral:lncRNA from 1 species
CUCACAACUAUUGCAGAUGAAUCAGCAUAUCAUUGGUAGUCUAUAUGUCCUUAUGCAUAAUUGAAGUUCAUCAACCAUGGACUCCAAGUUAUAGCACCUAACCUAAUUAUCAAUAUCCAACCAUUUGUCAAGUAUAGCUCGUUGACUAUGGAUUGGAUAAGUUAAUGACAUUGGGUUAACCUAAUCAAGAACAUGGCUUA